GCGCCCUUAGCUCAGCUGGAUAGAGCACCGGACUUCUAAUCCGACGGUCGCAGGUUCGAAUCCUGCAGGGCGCGCC
rnacentral:tRNA from 3 species